rnacentral:lncRNA from 1 species
GAGGAGGAGGAAAAAUAUGUAUGAAUAUUCAUCUAGCAUGGCUAAUUUGCAUAUUUUAGGCUCAGGGACUAAAUUGAAUAAAAGUAAAACUUUAUGGGCAAUUUUGUAAACAUGUCAGAAAUGACCAAAUUGCAUGAAAUGGAUUAUUUUAUUAUUUAAAUUACAAAAUUUAAUGAAAUUAUUAAUUUAGUUCAAGAUCGG